rnacentral:lncRNA from 1 species
GGGAAAUGAUGGUUUUGAAGUGCCUUUCAGAUGGAAUUUCCUAGAUUUUAAGUAUUUAGAGUAACUUUGUCAUAAAGUCAUUAUUAAGAUACAAAAAUCAGAUGAUGCUAAUAUUAGGGCAUCAGAUCACUUUACCCAUUGCAGCUCAAAGUCUGAUUCACAUGUAAGACACCCCCCGGGAUCCCACUGCAGGGCCAGUUGUGAUUGAGCAGGUCUGAGAUUCUGCCUUUCUCAGGAGCUCUGUGAGGCUGCUAAUGGACCUCACUGGCUGUGGAAUCCCUUUGGCUCCCGAGGGUGUUUGCAAAACAGCCUGUAGUUACAGUGAGGCAUCUUGUUCUCUUACUAGGUUUUUUGACUUGCAAGCAGACAACUUAUUAAGAUUAAGUAAUUUCUAUGGAGUUCAUGGCUUUCAUUAUAGAAAAAAAAGUUGAUUCCAGGGAAAUAAACUUUAAAUGAAUUGUUCUUCAAGUUGAAGUAUUGGAGAUUUGCAGGAGGUUUUGUGGUGUGUGUGUGUGUGUGUGUGUGUUUCAAAUAAGUGAAAGAAGAUACUAAAGUUGGAAAUUUGGCAGCUCUCUUAAAUUAAGAAGCUUGAAAAUGUGUCUGAUUCCUAAUGAUUCCUUUUGACUGAAUUCUGCAGUUCUCAUUUCAAAAUUAAUGUCAGGGAUUUGAAAUUCAAAGUCAUUCAAAAUCAAUUAUGAAUAUCAGUGUGAUUUUAGUAGUUAUAGGUUAAGAGUCUUAAUAUCAACUAAAAAUGCCCUGGGUCAAUUCCAUUUAUAUUGCUCAGUAUUUUGUUUUCUCUUAAUAAAUAUAUAUUUGGGAAAAUGAGAACAGGAGAUUUGGAGCCCCAGUUAGAGAAUGGCACAUCCUGCAUUCAAUUUGUAAUUAAAUUGUAGACCAAAAGGCAGCUGGCAUUAAGUCAUUUGAAUCAUCCUGUUCAUAUCCAUGUGGCCACUUAGAUGAAGACAAUAUCAGAAAGAUUCUGCAGUUAACUUUAAAGGUGAAGAUUACUUUUUUCUUUUCUUUUCUCUUCUUUUUAUAAUGCGGGGGAUGGGACCCAGGGUGUCACAUGUGCUAGGCAAGUGCUGUAUCGUUGAUCUACAUUCCCUGCCCCAAAGGUAGUAUUUUGAUCAUUGUUAAUAUUAAACAAUUUAUGCUAGUACAAUAUGGUGAUUUCCAUUCAUAGUUAACAUAAACUCUAAAAUUUAGAGAACAAAUUUAAAACAUUUUGUAAUUGAUGAAGUUAUAUUUUUUAUUUAAACUUUUUGUUUUGUGUUGAUACUUAAGAAUUAAUACAUAAGAAUUGCACAUCUGUGAGGUACAAUGUAAUAAUCUAGUAUGUGUAUACAAUGUAUAAAGACUAAAAUAGGGCACUUAGGAUUUCCAUCAAGGCAAUUAUAUUUAAUAAUAACUAUUUUCCAUAGUUGCUUAAAUUUAUGAAGUCUAAAUAAUACACUUUUAAAAAAUUAUUGGUGCUUAUUAAUUAUACAGAAUAAUGGGGAUUAUCCUGAUCCUCUCUUUUAAUAGUCUCUCUUUCUAUUUUUAUGAAACCUCUCUCUUUCUCCCUUCCCCUUCUCUUUCUGUCUCUCUCUUCCCUUCUCUCUAGCUUCCACACAUGAGAGAGAGAAAACAUGUGACAUUGUGUUUCUGAGUCUGGUUUAUUUUGCUUAACACAAUGCUCUCCAGUUUCAUCCAUUUUCCUGUGGAGGACAUAAUUUUGUUCUCUAUGGCUGACUGAAGCUCCAGUGUGUAUAUGCAACAUUUUCUGUUUCCAUUAACCAGUGAGGCUGGGUUCAUAACUGAGCUAUUGUGAGUGGAGUGCUGAAAACGUGGCCUGUAUAUAUUGCUCUUGUCUGCUGACUUUAAUUCUUUUGCACAGAUACUGAGGAGUGGUGUAGAUGGCCUACAAUAUACUCUUUAUUAUAUUCUCAGGGGAAAAUAUUUGACUUUGACAGAGUACUAGAAAAAUAAAUCUCAUUAGUAUAUAACAUAAAUUUUGUAUUCCAUUUGAGGUUAAUUUGUAAAGCUUUUGAUUGCUCAUGUAGUUACUUGAAUGUUUGUGAUUGAAAAAAAAAUACAUCUCAAUAGUGUAGAUUUAUUUUUAAAAAAUGAAUUAUAUCACAUCUGUAUUGCUUUCUGUCAUACAUUAAUUCUUGGUUGUUAUUGGUGGAAAAGAUGUUUUGCAUGUCACUCAAAUUCUGGGUGUUCCCCUGUGCUGGCUGUUCCCAUCAUCCACAAGGUUUUCUGCUGUAUUUUUGGGCCAAUUGAGAGUCACCUUUAUCUAUCAACUUUAAAGAUCAAUUGUAAAAACUUAAUAUUUGCUGGGCAUUUUAUAAUCUGAGCGUUUUAUACAUAUAAUCUCAUAGAAUCCUCAGCAUAAUCCUAAUGUGGAUAACUGUCCUUCUUUUCAAACCCAGAGAAUUUAAGUAGUUUACAAGGCUGUUCAGAUAAAAAAGCCCAAGAUGGUUUCCUUACACCCACUCUGUCUUCAAAGAUCAUGCUUUUAGUCUCACAAGUCUCCUACACUGCUGCCUCCAAAAUGCCAACUAAUUUCAAAAUUUGUCUGCAGCGUUAUAACUGUGAUUCAUGUUGUUAUUGUUAAGAAAUAGUUAUUUUCUGAUACCAAAUGGUUGAUACAUUGUGAUUACUUUUUAAUUUCCCAUCCUGUUGGUUUCCUUGUUAAUUAAAGGCAUUUAAGCUAUUUUCUCAUUAGAUGACAAUCAUAAUAACUGUUUUAAAAAUGCAAAUCCAAGUUCAUAGUGCAUUAAAGGUAAGCAUGACAGCCUCUCUCCAUCUCCAUCUUGGAUACAGUUACUGGCAUUUCUUCAUGAUGAUAUUGCCUGGCUUUUUACUAUGAUAAGAAUAAAUGUUUCAUAUAAAAAAUAAUUUAAACAUUAGUAAAUAGAUUGAUUUAAAGCUUAAUUUUUCAAAUGAAAGUAUUACGUUGAAGCUAAAUUUUUCAUACUCUUUUGUUUCUACAGUUUCUUCUUCAGUACUGUCUGUGGAUAAAGCACGUUUGUCCUGUUCAUUUAUAAAACUAGGUAUGAGGCCAGACAUGGUGGCACACACCUGCAAUCCCAGUGGCUUGGGAGGCUGAGGCAGGAGGAUUGCAGGUUCAAAG